UGUGGGAGCGGGCUUGCUCGCGAUUCAGGCACCUCGGUUUCACGUUGAAACCUUACCGAUACCAUCGCGGGCAAGCCCGCUCCCACA
rnacentral:misc_RNA from 1 species